rnacentral:rRNA from 1 species
GCGAACGGGUGAGUAACACGUGAGCAACCUGCCCUUGAYUCUGGGAUAAGCCUGGGAAACUGGGUCUAAUACCGGAUAGGACUCCUCAUCGCAUGGUGGGGGGUGGAAAGCCUUGUGCGGUCUUGGAUGGGCUCGCGGCCUAUCAGCUUGUUGGUGGGGUGAUGGCCUACCAAGGCGACGACGGGUAGCCGGCCUGAGAGGGUGACCGGCCACACUGGGACUGAGACACGGCCCAGACUCCUACGGGAGGCAGCAGUGGGGAAUAUUGCACAAUGGGCGGAAGCCUGAUGCAGCGACGCCGCGUGGGGGAUGACGGCCUUCGGGUUGUAAACCCCUUUCAGCAGGGAAGAAGGGCAACUGACGGUACCUGCAGAAGAAGCGCCGGCUAACUACGUGCCAGCAGCCGCGGUAAUACGUAGGGCGCGAGCGUUAUCCGGAAUUAUUGGGCGUAAAGAGCUCGUAGGCGGCUUGUCGCGUCUGCUGUGAAAGCCCGGGGCUCAACCCCGGGUCUGCAGUGGGUACGGGCAGGCUGGAGUGCAGUAGGGGAGACUGGAAUUCCUGGUGUAGCGGUGAAAUGCGCAGAUAUCAGGAGGAACACCGAUGGCGAAGGCAGGUCUCUGGGCUNUAACUGACGCUNACGAGCRAMVGC